rnacentral:rRNA from 1 species
CCUACGGGAGGCAGCAGUGAGGAAUAUUGGUCAAUGGGCGCGAGCCUGAACCAGCCAAGUAGCGUGAAGGAUGACUGCCCUACGGGUUGUAAACUUCUGUUAUAAAGGAAUAAAGUGAGGCACGAGGGCCUUGUGGUAUGGACUUUAUGAAUAAGGAUCGGCUAACUACGUGACAGCAGCCGAGGUAAGACAGAGGAUACGAGCGUUAUCCGGAUUUGUUGGGGUUAAAGGGAGCGUAGAUGUGUUGUUAAGUCAGUUGUGAAAGUGUGCGGCUCAACCGUAAAAUUGUAAUUGGUACUGGCAGUCUUGAGUACAGUAGGGGUAGGCGGAAUUCGUGGUGUAGCAGUGAAAUGCUUAGAUAUCACGAAGAACUCCGAUUGCGAAGGCAGCUUACUAAACUGCCACUGACAUUGAUGCUCGAAAGUGUGGGUAUCAAACAGGAUUAGAUACCCGUGUAGUC